CCUACGGGUGGCAGCAGUGAGGAAUAUUGGUCAAUGGACGAGAGUCUGAACCAGCCAAGUAGCGUGAAGGAUGACUGCCCUAUGGGUUGUAAACUUCUUUUAUAUGGGAAUAAAACAGGGUAUGCAUACCCUCUCGUAUGUACCAUAUGAAUAAGGAUCGGCUAACUCCGUGCCAGCAGCCGCGGUAAUACGGAGGAUCCGAGCGUUAUCCGGAUUUAUUGGGUUUAAAGGGAGCGUAGGUGGAUUGUUAAGUCAGUUGUGAAAGUUUGCGGCUCAACCGUAGAAUUGCAGUUGAAACUGGCGGUCUUGAGUACAGUAGAGGUGGGCGGAAUUCGUGGUGUAGCGGUGAAAUGCUUAGAUAUCACGAAGAACUCCGAUUGCGAAGGCAGCUCACUGGACUGCAACUGACACUGAUGCUCGAAAGUGUGGGUAUCAAACAGGAUUAGAUACCCUGGUAGUC
rnacentral:rRNA from 1 species